ensembl:lncRNA
AUUCAACUUGACAGAGUCUAAGUCUUCAUGUGACGGUGACAAGGCAGUUGUGGCAGACCUCUCUCCCACCUCCUUCAGAUUUCUGCUCUGGAUGGAUAUUCCCCUCCCUACACUGACCCCAUGUGUCGUGUCUCUGACGUGAGGUAAGCUCUAGAUUGCCAUGGCAUCUCUGCAUCCUGUCACUUCCUGCCAAGCCUCCUGUCCAAAUCUCCAGGGAGAGUCCAACUCCAGCCAAAGCAAGUCUUGAACUUCAAUCUCAGAACAUCUCAGAUACUUAUUAUAAGUUGUGGUGAAAGCAACAUGUGUAAUGUCCAUCAUUCAACCGAAGUAAUGACAAGAUGAACAUCUGUGACCAAGUUAAGGCUUGCCUGCCAAUGACAGCUACUUAGUGGCUAUUGCCUGGCUGAUGGGGAUAAUAAGAUGCCAGCUACUAUAAAACAUAUUCCAAUUUCAAAGAUGUUAAAAUGGAGACAGCUUCAAGAACUUGGCUUUAUGGAGGAAAGCUGUGAGAGGUAGCCUGCAGGGUGACACCAAAGAUUCAGAGUGAUGACAUGUGGCUUUGAGACUCCAUCUUACAAGAUUGUACCUCCCACCUGCUCUUUUGGACUACAUGUUCUUUAGAUGACUGUAAUAUCUCACAAAGAAAACCACCAUGAGAUUUUCUGGAUUCCACGAAGAAAGAAAAAUGUUUUACAUUAAAUCCAGCCACUUUAAGAUUUAGAUGUUAUUAUACCUAACAACAGACUGGUUCGAAAUUGGGAAAGGAGUAUAUGAAGGCUGCAUAUUGUCAC